ACAAUAAUAAGUGAAAACUAAGAAGAAAACAUAUGAAUUAUAUCAAAACGAAAGGAGGAAAGCGGACUAACUAUACAAAUGAAUCUCUCCCAAGACCUGAUAAGGUCAGUACUAGAGCUAUUACUAACAGGUACCAGAGUACUAGACAAAAAUCUAAAAUGUACAGAAGUAGUCUCAAGUGAAAAAGACUAACUAGAGUAGAUAGAGGAGGAUCAGCCUCGGACGACAGUAAGCUCACCCCGCUCUAAACCAACACUGAAAGGUAGGAACCACGUCAACGCCGACUGCUAGUACCUGGAUCUGCUUCAGGAAAAGAUGCAGAAGUGUAGUAUGAGUAUCAAAAACCACGGGUGCUCAGUAGGCAUCAUCGGCCGACUGAGCUUAAUAAAGAAAAAGGUGUAACUACAAUGCAAUAAUAUAAUCUGAGUUAUUAGUAAAUAAGGAUGGAAAGUUAAACAACUACCAAGCUAUGCAACGACUGUAAAAGAAUAAACUUGUGCAAUACAGAAAAAUAAUAAUGCAGUAAUAAUAAUUAAAUCAAACAUAACCUAACUGAGCCCCCAUAAGCCCGCUAGGCACACUGAAGAAGACUAUUAACCCAACCGUACUCCCAUAAGCUGGUGGGACACACAAGUGAUGAAAGUAAACAUAAAUAAUCAGAUGCCGGACUCGAACCAAAACUCAGAGUAACCCCAACUAUAAUCAGAUACUGGACUCAAACUGGAGCUCAUAGUAACAAUAAUAGUCAAAUGCCGGACUCGAACCGAAACUCAUAGUAACAAUAAUAGUCAAUUGCCGGACUCGAAUCGAAACUCAUAGUAACAUUAAUAAUCAGAUGCCGGACUCAAACUAGAACUCAUAGUAACAAUAAUAAUUAGAUGUCGGACUCAAACCGGAACUCUUAGUAACCAUACCCAAUGGAAAUAUUAAAAUUCAUACCAUAUCAUAACAAUGUAAAUGUCUUAAUAAUCAUUCAUUAAUCUUAAUUAAAAGGGAUAAAUUUAAGUUUUUUUUGCAAUUUAAUUUCACAUCCUAAAAUAAUAGAUUUUAUAUUAUAUUAAAAGAAAAUUUUUCAAAAAAAUUUACUAGAACAGGGUCCUAAUCUGGAUAAAUAAGACAGUUUAUAUGUAUUAAAAAUACGCAUCUACAAGGAUUCAUCCAAAGCUAACAUAAUAGUUAACAUUUUCAGUAAGUAAGCUCAACCUGAAAAUAGGGUAAAUCUAGCCUACCUGGGCUCCAAAACUAUAGUAUCUGUCUGCGAAGCUUCCGAAUAAUAUCCCACUAGAACCCGAAUUUGAAUAAUGAACUAAUAAUUUAAGUGCUCAAAUUGUG
rnacentral:lncRNA from 1 species